AUUAAAAAUAAUAAUUAAAAAUCCAACAAAUAAUUUCUCUAAAAUUUACAUAUAUUAUUUAAGUUUAUGUAAUGAAAAUAAAUAAGUAUUUAACUAACUAAUUAUAUUUUUAAUAUACCUUCAAUAUUUCUGGUGAAUUCUAAUAGAAAUAUUUGAUAAUUAUUUACUUGUACUGAUCUGUUUUAGAAACUAAAAUUAUUAAGUAUUUCCUACCAAUUUUCCUAAAUAAAGUUCCAGCUUAAUAAAUGAAAGUUUAAAUAAAUUGAGUAAAUUUCGCGGCUAAAGUGAUCACGUGUGCAGCUCCGCAGGAAAAAAAAAAAUCUGCUUUCCUCAGCAGCGACGUCGACUAGCCAUACACCUCACAACUCCUGGUAAGUAACGUUAGUCAGCUAAUCCUACUUACGUUUGUAACACUUUAUUAAAAAGUUAAUAAUUAUUAAGCAUUUCCUAACAAUUGUCUUUGUAUUUUACGUCAUAUUCAACAAGUUUCGUAGCUUAAUCGAAGUCACCUGAAGGACGGCUUUCCUCAGCAACGGCAAGACCCGCACUCCUCUCAUAUUGUGAAGUUUAACAAGUUUCGCGGCUCAAACAAGAGGCACCUGUCACUGAAGGACUGCUUUUCUCAGCUACGACGUGAACAGCAUCACUCGAAUUUCCUGGUUCAGCUGAUCUACCCGUCUUCGUACAAGCAGAGUUGGCAGAGGAGGUCAUAAAAAUCUACAUCCUUCGGGACAAUGAUGGGGCAGUCAGCGAUGUAAUCUUGGGAAUCACAGCAGAGCCUGCUGCCAUCUUUUGGGAGUCACAUUGGAUUUGAGAUAUCCCAAGACCCACAAAUACAGGUCCUUCUCCAAAAAUUAGCAUAUUGUGAUAAAGUUCAUUAUUUUCCUUGAUGUAAUGAUAAAAAUUAAACUUUCAUAUAUUUUAGAUUCAUUGCACACCAACUGAAAUAUUUCAGGUCUUUUAUUGUUUAAAUACUGAUGCUUUUGGCAUACAGCUCAUGAAAACCCAAAAUUCCUAUCUCAAAAAAUUAGCUUAUUUCAUCUGACCAAUAAAAGAAAAGUGUUUUUAAUACAAAAAAAAAGUCAACCUUCAAAUAAUGAUGUUCAGUUAUGCACUCAAUACUUGGUCGGGAAUCCUGCAGAAAUGACUGCUUCAGUGUGGCGUGGCAUGGAGGCAAUCAGCCUGUGGUGCUGCUGAGGUGUUAUGGAGGCCCAGGAUGCUUCGAUAGCGGCCUUAAGCUCAUCCAGAGUGUUGGGUCUUGCGUCUCUCAACUUUCUCUUCACAAUAUCCCACAGAUUCACUAUGGGGUUCAGGUCAGGAGAGUUGGCAGGCCAAUUGAGCACAGUAAUACCAUGGUCAGUAAACCAUUUACCAGUGCUUUUCAGCAGAUGGAAGCAUGAAGUGCUCCAAAAUCUCCUGAUAGCUAGCUGCAUUGACCCUGCCCUUGAUAAAACACAGUGGACCAAUACCAGCAGCUGACAUGGCACCCCAGACCAUCACUGACUGUGGGUACUUGACACUGGACUUCAGGCAUUUUGGCAUUUCCUUCUCCCCAGUCUUCCUCCAGACUCUGGCACCUUGAUUUCCGAAUGACAUGCAAAAUUGGCUUUCAUCCAAAAAAAGUACUUAGGACCACUGAGCAACAGUCCAGUGCUGCUUCUCUGUAGCCCAUUUCCUGCACACGCCUGUGCACGGUGGCUCUGGAUGUUUCUACUCCAGACUCAGUCCACUGCUUCCGCAGGUCCCCCAAGCUCUGGAAUCGGUCCUUCUCCACAAUCUUCCUCAGGGUCCGGUCACCUCUUCUCGUUGUGCAGCGUUUUUUGCCACACUUUUUCCCUCUCGCUUGAGGGUGUCAAUGAUGGCCUUCUGGACAGCAGUCAGGUCAGUCUUACCCAUGAUUGCGGUUUUGAAUAAUAAACCCGGCUGGGAGUUUUUAAAAGCCUCAGGAAUCUUUUGCAAGUGUUUAGAGUUAAUUAGCUGAUUCAGAUGAUUAGGUUAAUAGCUCGUUUAGAGAACCUUUUCAUGAUAUGCUAAUUUUUUGAGAUAGGAAUUUUGGGUUUUCAUGAGCUGUAUGCCAAAAUCAUCAGUAUUAAAACAAUAAAAGACCUGAAAUAUUUCAGUUGGUGUGCAAUGAAUCUAAAAUAUAUGAAAGUUUAAUUUUUAUCAUUACAUUACGGAAAAUAAUGAACUUCAUCACAAAAUGCUAAUUUUUUGAGAAGGACCUGUACUCACUUAAGUUGUUCCAAAAACUGUUUCUUGAGCUGGAUCCUCCAAAACUCUCUGUUAAUGUUCAGAGGUUAAAAAAUUAUCUUCUUGCAUAGUAGUGGUUCAUGGUCAUCCCACAGAAUGGGUAUUCCUGAUGGAAGUGUUUCUGUUACAUUAUGACAACAACAUCUUUUUGGGUGAACUAUCCCUUUAAUAUUGAUGUAAGUGUUGCUUUUAUUUUUUUUAUGGUUUAAUGUUGAGUGUGACUGCAAAUGGCUGGUAUGCACCAGGAACAAAGUAAGAUGUCAUUUCUCUUAUGGCUAUCGUAUUUUACAUGUAAUCUACUUGAAUACUAAGAUGGAUGAAAUGUUUCAUAAGGUUUAAUCAUUUCCCUUAUGGCUACUUUACAGUUUUAAUUUUUGCAAUUUACUGGAAUAUUAAAAUGGAUAAGAUGUUUCAAAGGUUGAUUUUAGACUUUGUCUUAUGUUUAAUUGACAAAUAAAUUUUCAAUAAAAAAAUG